rnacentral:rRNA from 1 species
GACGAACGCUGGCGGCGUGCUUAACACAUGCAAGUCGAACGGUAAGGCCCUUCGGGGUACACGAGUGGCGAACGGGUGAGUAACACGUGGGUGAUCUGCCCUGCACUUCGGGAUAAGCCUGGGAAACUGGGUCUAAUACCGGAUAGGACCACUGCCUGCAUGGGGGGUGGUGGAAAGCUUUUGCGGUGUGGGAUGGGCCCGCGGCCUAUCAGAUUGUUGGUGGGGUGAGGGCCUACCAAGGCGACGACGGGUAGCCGGCCUGAGAGGGUGACCGGCCACACUGGGACUGAGAUACGGCCCAGACUCCUACGGGAGGCAGCAGUGGGGAAUAUUGCACAAUGGGCGCAAGCCUGAUGCAGCGACGCCGCGUGAGGGAUGACGGCCUUCGGGUUGUAAACCUCUUUCAGUAGGGACGAAGCGCAAGUGACGGUACCUACAGAAGAAGGACCGGCCAACUACGUGCCAGCAGCCGCGGUAA